GACGAACGCUGGCGGCGUGCUUAACACAUGCAAGUCGAACGGAAAGGCCCUGCUUUUGUGGGGUGCUCGAGUGGCGAACGGGUGAGUAACACGUGAGUUACCUGCCCUUGACUUUGGGAUAACUUCAGGAAACUGGGGCUAAUACGGGAUAGGAGCUCCUGCUGCAUGGUGGGGGUUGGAAAGUUUCGGCGGUUGGGGGUGGGCUCGCGGCCUAUUAGCUUGUUGGUGGGGUAGUGGCUUACCAAGGCUUUGGGGGGAAGCCGGCCGGGGAGGGUGACCGGCCAAAUGGGACCGGGGAUACGGCCCGGACUCCUACGGGAGGCGGCGGUGGGGAAUUUUGCACAAGGGGCGGAGGCCUGUUGCGGCACCGCCGCGUGGGGGAUGACGGCCUUCGGUUUGUAACCCGCUUUCGCCUGUGACGAGGCGUGAGUGACGGUAAUGGGUAAAGAAGCACCGGCUAACUACGUG
rnacentral:rRNA from 1 species